CCUACGGGAGGCAGCAGUGAGGAAUAUUGGUCAAUGGGCGCUAGCCUGAACCAGCCAAGUCGCGUGAAGGAUGACUGCCCUAUGGGUUGUAAACUUCUUUUAUAUGGGAGUAAAGUGCAGUAUGUAUACUGCUUUGCAUGUACCUUAUGAAUAAGGAUCGGCUAACUCCGUGCCAGCAGCCGCGGUAAUACGGAGGAUCCGAGCGUUAUCCGGAUUUAUUGGGUUUAAAGGGAGCGUAGGCGGGUUGUUAAGUCAGUUGUGAAAGUUUGCGGCUCAACCGUAAAAUUGCAGUUGAUACUGGCAGCCUUGAGUACAGUAGAGGUAGGCGGAAUUCGUGGUGUAGCGGUGAAAUGCUUAGAUAUCACGAAGAACUCCGAUUGCGAAGGCAGCCUGCUGGACUGUAACUGACGCUGAUGCUCGAAAGUGUGGGUAUCAAACAGGAUUAGAUACCCGAGUAGUC
rnacentral:rRNA from 1 species